UACGUAGGGUGCAAGCGUUAUUCGGAAUUACUGGGCGUAAAGCGUGCGCAGGCGGUGAUGUAAGACAGUUGUGAAAUCCCCGGGCUCAACCUGGGAACUGCAUCUGUGACUGCAUCGCUGGAGUACGGUAGAGGGGGAUGGAAUUCCGCGUGUAGCAGUGAAAUGCGUAGAUAUGCGGAGGAACACCGAUGGCGAAGGCAAUCCCCUGGACCUGUACUGACGCUCAUGCACGAAAGCGUGGGGAGCAAACAGG
rnacentral:rRNA from 1 species